GACGAACGCUGGCGGCGUGCCUAAUACAUGCAAGUCGAACGAGAGCGACCGGUGCUUGCACUGGUCAAUCUAGUGGCGCACGGGUGAGUAACACGUGGGUAACCUGCCCAUCAGAGGGGGAUAACAUCCGGAAACGGAUGCUAAAACCGCAUAGGUCUUCGAACCGCAUGGUUUGAAGAGGAAAAGAGGCGCAAGCUUCUGCUGAUGGAUGGACCCGCGGUGCAUUAGCUAGUUGGUGAGGUAACGGCUCACCAAGGCCGUGAUGCAUAGCCGACCUGAGAGGGUGAUCGGCCACAUUGGGACUGAGACACGGCCCAAACUCCUACGGGAGGCAGCAGUAGGGAAUCUUCCGCAAUGGACGCAAGUCUGACGGAGCAACGCCGCGUGAGUGAAGAAGGUGUUCGGAUCGUAAAACUCUGUUGUUAGAGAAGAACAAGUGCUAGAGUAACUGUUAGCGACUUGACGGUAGCUAAACAGAAAGCCACGGCUAACUACGUG
rnacentral:rRNA from 1 species